CAAAGCUUUUCAAGAAAAACUAAAAGAGCUUGAAGAUGAACGGAGUUCAGAGACGUGUGAUAAGUCUUUAAAGAUAAAAAAGAGGGGGAAAAUUAUGCAGGAAUCUUGUGUGUCAUAUCAUGGCGAAGAAUACCAAGAUCACCCGCAAGAAGCAAUGAAGGCAAUGACACCAAAAAAAGAUGAAGAUAAGUUAAAUUAUUCUUUGGCCGACAGUGAUGUUGAGGUUAGAAAGGUGAUUGAUGAAGGAAACUUUUUAGAUCCAGUGUCAAAGAUCUUUUGAAAUGGUACUUUUAUCAUCGUGCUGAAGCCUUUGUUUUUGUUCUUUCAAUUUUGUCUCAAAAUAUGUUGGAGACCGAAAGAGAAAGACUUCCACUAGAACGCAGUAAACCUUGUUACGACCAUCAACCUCAAAAUACUCUGCAGAGCGAAAGGAAAAGUCUUUCGCAAGAAUCCGAUGAGCCAAAUACAGAC